GACGAACGCUGGCGGCGUGCUUAACACAUGCCAGUCGAACGGAAAGGCCCUGCUUUUGUGGGGUGCUCGAGUGGCGAACGGGUGAGUAACACGUGAGUAACCUGCCCUUGACUUUGGGAUAACUUCAGGAAACUGGGGCUAAUACCGGAUAGGAGCUCCUGCUGCAUGGUGGGGGUUGGAAAGUUCCGGCGGUUGGGGAUGGACUCGCGGCUUAUCAGCUUGUUGGUGGGGUAGUGGCUUACCAAGGCUUUGACGGGUAGCCGGCCUGAGAGGGUGAACGGCCACAAUGGGACUACGAUACGGCCCAGACGGCUACGGGAGGCAGCAGUGGGGAAUCUUGCACAAUGGGCGGAAGCCUGAUGCAGCAACGCCGCGUGCGGGAUAACGGCCUUCGGGUUGUAAACCGCUUUCGCCUGUGACGAAGCGUGAGUGACGGUAAUGGGUAAAGAAGCACCGGCUAACUACGUG
rnacentral:rRNA from 1 species